ACUCAAAUGAAUAGACGGGGACCCGCACAAGCAGUGGAUCAUGUGGUUUAAUUCGAUGCUACACGAACAACCUUACCAUCUCUUGCAUCCCAUUGACCGGUACAGAAAUGUACCUUUGGAGCAAUCCACAGUGGAGACAGGUGCUGCAUGGCUGUCGUCAGCUCGUGUCGUGAGACGUUAGGUUAAGUCCUUCAACGAGCGCAACCCUCAUCCUUAUUUGCCAUCAGGUUAUGCUGGGAACUAUAAGGAAACUGCCUGCGACAAGCAGGAGGAAGGUGGGGACGAUGUCAAGUCAUCAUGGCCCUUAUGGGAUGGGCUACACACAUGAUACAAUGGUGGUUACAGCAGGAAGCGAACGAGCAAUCGGGAGCAAAUCCAUAAAAGCCAUCUCAGUUCAGAUUGAGGGCUGCAACUCGCCCUCAUGAAGUUGGAAUUGCUAGUAAUCGUGGAUCAGCAUGCCACGGUGAAUACGUUCUCGGGUCUUGUACACACCGCCCGU
rnacentral:rRNA from 1 species